AAGCUGCACACGUAUUCAGCCUUUAUAGAUAUCCAUAUGAGGCUGAUCUAAUCAGGAAAUCCCGAUCUCAAUGGCGUGCUAGCUCUCUUGCAGAGAUCGCUCCUUAGAUUGUCGAAUCUUUUCUCCUUUUUGAUUAUCUUUUCAAAGAAACCAAAGAGAUCUAUAGGAGGAGUAAGAAAUCAGAUCUAAUCUAAUUUCUUUUUCUCUUUUCUCUUCUCAAGAGAAAUGAAAGAAGAUCUAAAGAAGGAGGAAAAAGAUGAGAGAUCAAAUCUCUCUUCUUUCUUUUUCAUCUAACUCUUGGAUUAAAUCUGGAGGAGGAGAUGAAAAAGGCAUCCAACUCUUAGACCAAGAGGAAGUAAGAGAAGGCAUCCAUCUCAUGGACAUAGGAAGAGAGAAAG
rnacentral:lncRNA from 1 species